UUACGGUCACAUCAUGUUGAAACACCGGUUCCCGUACGACAACCGAAGUUAAGCAACGUCAAGUCUAGUCAAUACCUAGAUGAGGGACCGCUUGGCAAUACCAGGUGU